GCUUCACCCAAUGAAGAUGCGUUCACGUUAUUUACACAAAUGACAUCCAUGCCAUUUUUAAAAUUCAAAUACAGCUUUGCAGCAUACCUCAGAAAUAUGCUCAGAAAUAAUUAAAACCACAUCCUUACCUCUUCCACAAUAACAAGAUGCAACCAAAAAUGAUUACCAGAAGAAAAGGAAAUGUGUAAAAGCCUUCACAGGAAGGCGGAAGAUGGGUUUUUUCCGCAUGCUAGUGAUCACAUACAUGCUCGUAUACAUAACCCUCUACUUCGGCUUGGUGGGAGCGCUGGUUUACGUCCGAAGCAUUUUUGUGCGGGAUAAUAACCUUUCAGAACUGUAUACACAAGAGUGAUUAAAAGACAAGAAAUAUCAUCCACAUUUAUUUAAUUACAAAAUUAAUCUUACAAAACUUGUAAAGGCACUAAUAUGGACGGCAUUCAUCAGUCAACUUCAAGUUUGUGCUAGUCUAUACAGUCAAACUACGAAACAUGAGAUUCACAAGACAUUAAAUGAGAAACUUAAAA